GGGUGCGGUGCGCAGCACCGCAGGUCUCCCGGCUGGUCGGGCCGCCAGCC
rnacentral:ncRNA from 1 species